rnacentral:misc_RNA from 1 species
GGAAGACAUUGUGGUUUGUGUGGAGGAGGUACUGAUGGUAAACCUCCAAAAAAGCUAGUUUAUGGGGCUGCCAGUGAUGAUGAAGAACGCAGUGGGUCCUCUGCUUCUGAUGAACCUAACUAUGACAUGUGGGAUGGAUUUGGUGAUGAACCUGGCUGGCUUGGACGCCUCCUGGGGCCCAUAAAUGAUCGAUAUGGUAUAGCUGGGAUUUGGGUGC